GGUAUUUAAAAAAAAAUUAUAAUUUUAAAAAUGGUUAUUUUCACAUUAUAUAGUGAUCAUGAAAAGUUUAUUUCUACAUGCAAACUAGAUAGAAGGAAAAAAUAUGGCAGAAAUUCUAAAGUUUAUUUAUAUGAUGAUUAUUUUCCUUUUCAUGUGUAUCAUUGUAACUAAUGGUAAGUCUAUAUCCUCAAAAAAAUUAAUAAUCAAUUUUUUCUCUAAAUCUUUUUUUUUAUUUAAAUAUAUUUCCUCUUUAUCUUAUAUACAAUGUAUCAUUCCAUAUUAUUAACAUUUUUUUUAAACAACCAUAUUAUUAAUUAACAUUUACUUUUCCUAUUUGAUGUCAUAGGAAAUUAUUUAUGUGAUGAAGAUAAAGAUUGUCCUAAAAAUAUUUGUCUCUAUAAUGAAUAUCCACGUUGCAUGAAGGGUAUUUGUCGAUGUGUGAAAUUGUAGUUUAUUUUACAAUCAUAAAAUUAUAUUAUUUUAUUCAAUAAUGUGGGAAUAAUACAAGAUGAGAUCAAAUCAAAUGUUUAGAAAUCAAGAUGGGAUCAAAUCAAAUUGUCGUUGUUAAGUUCAAAUAUAAUUAUUUGGUAAUUAUAAGAUUAUAAAUGCCUUUGCAAUUGUAAUGUUGGUAUUUUUAUAUUUCUUCCAUGUUCACUUUUUGUUUGUCAGACCUUCAAAUUUAUUUGAUCGGCUAUA
rnacentral:lncRNA from 1 species